rnacentral:lncRNA from 1 species
CUACAACACAGUCUUUGGCUUUUGUUUGUUCAUUUGGCAGAUACAUAUGGAAGCUCUCCGGUGUAGGCACCAUUCACAUGGGGGGGAUGAAAACAGGUAAGUUUCUGUUCUUGCAGAGCUUAUGUCCUCAUGACAAGAGGCUGACAAUAGUAAAAAAAAACCGAAUAGAGGUAAAUAGUCAAAAAUGAUAGAGGUAAAUUUAUAUACUAGUAGGUCAGAGGGUGAUGUGACUGACAGAGGCUGGACAACCCACUCCAGGCCCAGAUGUUUGCAGAAGACUUACCUGAAGAUGCUUUUCUUAAGAGAGAAAUGCUCUUGCGAUGUUUUUUGAGGACCUUCCCUGCAGCGAUGAGAUUCUAACAUUCUCCCCACCCAACAGGCUUCCGUGGUAGAAUGAGAAAGGUGGAGAAGAGGGAUUUCAGUUCCCUGGGGCGCUGUGUCUGUUAGCUGCCGGUAAAUACCUCUGAGAGACUCUGUUUCCAGCUAAAGGAGACCACCUGUCCUACAACUCUCAGGAUCAGGCACAGGAACUGUCUGGGUGGACCCUCUGGCAAAAUGAAUUGGACCAACUCUAAGUUCCAGAACUCCAGAGCCAGUAGCAAUGCUUUCCUGGAUGACCCCACACCACUGCCCUGCUCUGCUUAGGCACAGCAGCUACAGCCAUUUCUGGCUCUGUUGGUGUUGUGGCUCUCAUCUUGCUCCUGGUGGGUCUCUUGUCCAUGACCCUGAAGAAAUGGAGACAUGAGAGACUAUUUAAGAAACAAUUGAGGCACCAGACCAACUUUCUCCAUAGAACUUCGGAGCUUUCCUGCCAUGCUGAUGCCAUAUAUUCGAAUGUGAUCAACCUGGCUUCCUGGAAAGAGGAUGACUUCGCUGUCUAUGCCAACGUGCCCCCUUUCAAUCGCCCUAGGAAGACAUCACCAGACCAAGUGGAAUAUGCCUCCAUUGUAUUCCACUGAUGGGAAGCCAAUGAGAUGCUUCAGAUGGAAAGUCAGACCUAUGCCCCAGCUGGAUCCUGAGCUGGCUUGUGCUUUAGAUGGGUGGUGUGGGUGUGUGGGUGUGUCUAUUUAGAAAAAUGCAUAAAACAUAUCCUAAUGGUGGUAAAUGGCUGGGUAUUUCUUCUGAUUUAUUGGAAACAAAGUACAGUUCUAAUGGAAAGGAGUGGCAUAGGAGAGACAAGGACACGCUGAUCCAAGCCAUCCCAGCCCCAGAAGCAGGUUCCUGAGACAGACUGGCCAAC